AUUGAACGCUGGCGGCAGGCCUAACACAUGCAAGUCGAGCGGAGAGGCGGACGGGUGAGUAAUGCAUAGGAAUCUGCCUGUGAGUGGGGGAUAGCGUCAGGAAACGGGAGCUGAUACUGCAUACUAUCAGAUGAGCAUAGGUCGGAUUAGCUGGUUGGUGGGGUAAAGGCCUAACAAGGCGACGAUCCGUAACUGGUAUGGGAGUAUGAUCAGUCACACUGGAACGUAGACACGGUCCAUACUCCUUCGGGAGGCAGCAGUGGGGAAUAUUGGACAAUGGGCGAAAGCCUGAUCCAGCCAUUCCGCGUGUGUGAAGAAGGUCUUCGGAUUUUAAAGCACUUUAAUGGGGGAGGCGUUACCAACAGAAUAAGCACCGGCUAACUCCGUGCCAGCAGCCGCGGUAAUAC
rnacentral:rRNA from 1 species